GACGAACGCUGGCGGCGUGCCUAAUACAUGCAAGUCGAACGAGAGCGACCGGUGCUUGCACUGGUCAAUCUAGUGGCGAACGGGUGAGUAACACGUGGGUAACCUGCCCAUCAGAGGGGGAUAACAUCCGGAAACGGAUGCUAAAACCGCAUAGGUCUUCGAGCCGCAUGGCUUGAAGAGGAAAAGAGGCGCAAGCUUCUGCUGAUGGAUGGACCCGCGGUGCAUUAGCUAGUUGGUGAGGUAACGGCUCACCAAGGCCGUGAUGCAUAGCCGACCUGAGAGGGUGAUCGGCCACAUUGAGACUGAGACACGGCCCAAACUCCUACGGGAGGCAGCAGUAGGGAAUCUUCCGCAAUGGACGCAAGUCUGACGGAGCAACGCCGCGUGAGUGAAGAAGGUUUUCGGAUCGUAAAACUCUGUUGUUAGAGAAGAACAAGUGCUAGAGUAACUGUUAGCGCCUUGACGGUAUCUAACCAGAAAGCCACGGCUAACUACGUG
rnacentral:rRNA from 1 species